CUGAGACGCCGGCAUCCACGAGUACUGACCCCUCCGUACGUCUCUACAAUGUUGUUCAUCAUUCUAUUGAAGAUGGCAUCAAUAAACAGACAUGGUUUCUUUAUUUGAACAAGAACCCCAGAGUAGCAGCAAAUGACCUACAGGAGACUCUACAAACUACAGAAACCUCUGUGUAUGCGUUAUGUGAAACACUGAACAAGACAAAGGAAAAUGCUGCUGUGCAAAACAAUGUGGUUCAUCUCAAGCUUGGCCAAGCUAGAUAUUCCUCAAUGCUUGUGACAAAAUUGGAACUUUUUAGCGAGAAUUAACAAUGCUAUGCUUAGAGGAAAACACUACUCCAACACCAAAAGCUCAUCCCUACCAUGAAGCAUGGAUGAAGAAGCAUCAUGGUUUAGGUCUGUUAUCUUGCCUCAGGGCCUGGACACCUUGCUAUCAUUUAAAGAACAUUUGAUUUUACAGGAGAAUAUUUAAUUGAUAUUUAUUUAAAUGAAGAUUCAAAGCCUUCUCCACCGUUUACAUUCCACCUAGUCUAAUCUAAUGAAGAGUAGCUAUAUCUGUCUGUCUUUCUAUCGUCCUCUAUUUCUAAACACAUGAAAACCUCUUACUUGGUACCAGUUUCCACUGCAGAAAAGCUUAAAAUUAUUUGUCAACAAUCAAAAGAGAAAAAAAAAAUAAGAUGCAUCAUAACAUCUUAUCUGCCUAAGAAAGGAAAUUGCCAGGAGAUUUUCUGGUAGAAAUGUGAAAAAAUACUGUCAAUAUGUUAGAACAAUAAAAAUCUCCUGGGUAGCUAUAAAAUUAAAUGGAGCCUGUUUCACCUUGCAUCCUGUCUCAGCGUUGAAAAAUAGGUUUGAUCAGCCUCACUGGUCACUUGUGUCAUCUCUUUCUGAGCAGUCUUCUUUAUGAGAAAUAUCUCACUGAUAUAAAUGAUUGCUGCCCUCUUCAAAAAAGUGUAAGGAGCGAACUAACAUGCAAACAAUAUUUUUAAGCAAAGAGGUUCACAUGAUCAUGCAAAAAGUCAUCUAUUGUAUUGUAAUGUGUUCUUGCAGCCCUAGAACAAGCUUGGAAACCAUCCUUCAAAGCGAUUAUUCAGCAGUGUAUCAUUUAAAGGAUUCUGCUUGCAGCAAUUAGACCAACAGAGUCUAAUAAAACUUAUGAGUGUAGCUUGCAAAUGACUAUUGAUAUUUCCAGAAAUUAAUAUUUUA